UUGAUGAAAGCCAAAAUAGAGGCAUGUUACUGUUAAUAACAUAAUUGAAAUAUUGUUUUCUCGUCAAG
rnacentral:tRNA from 1 species